UGGUAUGCCCGAAGCCGGUUAGUUAACUUCGGAGACGACUGUCUAAGGUAGGACUGGUGACUGGGGUGAAGUCGUAACAAGGUAUCCCUACGAGAACGUGGGGAUGGAUCACCUCCUUUCUACGGAGUACAUAGUACAAAAUUUAAGCAUUAUUUAGAUUGUGGUAAAAACAUUUAUAUCCAGUUUUGAGAGUUUUAUCUCUUAUAAAAAUAUAGAUCUUUGAAAACUGAAUUGAAAAGACAUUUGUAUAUAUAAAUAUUAAUAUUCAAACGUUUUGAUCAACCUAUAGAAUACAUCAUAUCUAAUUUCUAAUUAAAAAUUAGACAAUAGGAACAUACUAUUAAAUAAGUAAGAGUUUUUGGUGGAUGCCUUGGGUCUGGAAGUCGAUGAAGGACGUGCAAACCUGC
rnacentral:misc_RNA from 1 species